CUAUUUAACGGCCGCGGUAUCAUAACCGUGCAAAGGUAGCGUAAUCACCUGUCUCCUAAAUAGAGACCUGUAUGAAUGGCUAACUGAAGGUUUUACUGUCUCCUCUGGCCAAUCAAUGAAACUGAUCUCUCAGUACAAAAGCUGAGAUAAUUUCACAAGACGAGAAGACCCUGUGGAGCUUCUAAACCUACCACUAUUUAAAAACCAGCCCUAAAUGGCAUACCACCCCACCAUAGUAUAAGUUUUAAGUUGGGGCGACUGCGGAGAAAAAAGAAACCUCCAUGAAAUCGGACUAACCCACGCCCGCACGGCCUACGAGCCAAACAUACAUAUACUGACCCAGUAACACUGACAAUCGAACCAAGUUACCCCAGGGAUAACAGCGCCAUCUCCCUUAAGAGUCCAUAUCGCCAGGGAGGCUUACGACCUCGAUGUUGGAUCAGGACACCCAGGUAGUGAAGCCGCCACCAAAGGUUCGUUUGUUCAACGAUUAAUGUCCUACGUGAUCUG
rnacentral:rRNA from 1 species